GACGAACGCUGGCGGCGUGCUUAACACAUGCAAGUCGAGCGGUAAGGCCUCACUUGUGGGGUACACGAGCGGCGAACGGGUGAGUAACACGUGGGUGACCUGCCUUCAGCUCUGGGAUAAGCCUGGGAAACUGGGUCUAAUACCGGAUAUGACCGCAUGCUGCAUGGUGUGUGGUGGAAAGUUUUUCGGCUGGGGAUGGGCCCGCGGCCUAUCAGCUUGUUGGUGGGGUGAUGGCCUACCAAGGCGACGACGGGUAGCCGGCCUGAGAGGGCGACCG
rnacentral:rRNA from 1 species